AUUGAACGCUGGCGGCAUGCCUUACACACGCAAGUCGAACGGCAGCAUGAUCUAGCUUGCUAGAUUGAUGGCGAGUGGCGAACGGGUGAGUAAUACAUCGGAACGUGCCCUGUAGUGGGGGAUAACUAGUCGAAAGAUUAGCUAAUACCGCAUACGACCUGAGGGUGAAAGUGGGGGACCGCAAGGCCUCAUGCUAUAGGAGCGGCCGAUGUCUGAUUAGCUAGUUGGUGGGGUAAAGGCCCACCAAGGCGACGAUCAGUAGCUGGUCUGAGAGGACGAUCAGCCACACUGGGACUGAGACACGGCCCAGACUCCUACGGGAGGCAGCAGUGGGGAAUUUUGGACAAUGGGCGAAAGCCUGAUCCAGCAAUGCCGCGUGUGUGAAGAAGGCCUUCGGGUUGUAAAGCACUUUUGUCCGGAAAGAAAUGGCUCUGGUUAAUACCUGGGGUCGAUGACGGUACCGGAAGAAUAAGGACCGGCUAACUACGUGCCAGCAGCCGCGGUAAUACGUAGGGUCCAAGCGUUAAUCGGAAUUACUGGGCGUAAAGCGUGCGCAGGCGGUUGUGCAAGACCGAUGUGAAAUCCCCGAGCUUAACUUGGGAAUUGCAUUGGUGACUGCACGGCUAGAGUGUGUCAGAGGGGGGUAGAAUUCCACGUGUAGCAGUGAAAUGCGUAGAGAUGUGGAGGAAUACCGAUGGCGAAGGCAGCCCCCUGGGAUAACACUGACGCUCAUGCACGAAAGCGUGGGGAGCAAACAGGAUUAGAUACCCUGGUAGUCCACGCCCUAAACGAUGUCAACUAGUUGUUGGGGAUUCAUUUCCUUAGUAACGUAGCUAACGCGUGAAGUUGACCGCCUGGGGAGUACGGUCGCAAGAUUAAAACUCAAAGGAAUUGACGGGGACCCGCACAAGCGGUGGAUGAUGUGGAUUAAUUCGAUGCAACGCGAAAAACCUUACCUACCCUUGACAUGCCACUAACGAAGCAGAGAUGCAUUAGGUGCUCGAAAGAGAAAGUGGACACAGGUGCUGCAUGGCUGUCGUCAGCUCGUGUUGUGAGAUGUUGGGUUAAGUCCCGCAACGAGCGCAACCCUUGUCUCUAGUUGCUACGAAAGGGCACUCUAGAGAGACUGCCGGUGACAAACCGGAGGAAGGUGGGGAUGACGUCAAGUCCUCAUGGCCCUUAUGGGUAGGGCUUCACACGUCAUACAAUGGUGCAUACAGAGGGUUGCCAAGCCGCGAGGUGGAGCUAAUCCCAGAAAAUGCAUCGUAGUCCGGAUCGUAGUCUGCAACUCGACUACGUGAAGCUGGAAUCGCUAGUAAUCGCGGAUCAGCAUGCCGCGGUGAAUACGUUCCCGGGUCU
rnacentral:rRNA from 1 species